rnacentral:rRNA from 1 species
CCUACGGGUGGCAGCAGUGGGGGAUAUUGCACAAUGGGCGAAAGCCUGAUGCAGCGACGCCGCGUGAGGGAAGAAGGUCUUCGGAUUGUAAACCUCUGUCUUCGGGGAAGAAAAUGACGGUACCUAAAGAGGAAGCUCCGGCUAACUACGUGCCAGCAGCCGCGGUAAUACGUAGGGAGCAAGCGUUGUCCGGAAUUACUGGGUGUAAAGGGAGCGUAGGCGGGAUGGCAAGUCGGAGGUUAAAUCCCUCGGCUAAACCCGGGGCUGCGUUGGAAACUGCGGUGCUUGAGUGAAGUAGAGGCAGGCGGAAUUCCUAGUGUAGCGGUGAAAUGCGUAGAUAUUAGGAGGAACACCAGUGGCGAAGGCGGCCUGCUGGACUGUAACUGACGCUGAGGCUCGAAAGCGUGGGGAGCAAACAGGAUUAGAUACCCUGGUAGUC